rnacentral:rRNA from 1 species
GAUGAACGCUGGCGGCGUGCCUAAUACAUGCAAGUCGAGCGAACAGACGAGGAGCUUGCUCCUCUGACGUUAGCGGCGGACGGGUGAGUAACACGUGGAUAACCUACCUAUAAGACUGGGAUAACUUCGGGAGACCGGAGCUAAUACCGGAUAAUAUAUUGAACCGCAUGGUUCAAUAGUGAAAGACGGUUUUGCUGUCACUAAUAGAUGGAUCCGCGCCGCAUUAGCUAGUUGGUAAGGUAACGGCUUACCAAGGCAACGAUGCGUAGCCGACCUGAGAGGGUGAUCGGCCACACUGGAACUGAGACACGGUCCAGACUCCUACGGGAGGCAGCAGUAGGGAAUCUUCCGCAAUGGGCGAAAGCCUGACGGAGCAACGCCGCGUGAGUGAUGAAGGUCUUCGGAUCGUAAAACUCUGUUAUUAGGGAAGAACAAAUGUGUAAGUAACUAUGCACGUCUUGACGGUACCUAAUCAGAAAGCCACGGCUAACUACGUG